GUGAUCCAAAGCUUUUCCUGAUGAAGCACAAAGUUGGAGAAAAAAAAGCAAACUAAACAACAACAAUGAAACAGAACAGAGUUAAUCUGCUGUAGCUCAAGAGAGGACGUAGCUGCCCCCACUCCGCAUCCCUGGGCUCGGGUUUGCCUUGCUGACCUCUGCUGCCACCUGGUGCCACACAGAGAAACUGAGGAGAAACCACAUCAGUCUCCUUCAGCCUCAGCUUCACAUCUGUGGGUCAAGUAACCCUUUCAGAAGCUGAAUAAUGUGGGAAAGCUUUCCUCUCAGGAAAAUGCACACAUCCAACUUUGAGAAGAUGCCCUUGGGGGUGCUUCAAGGAUCCUAGAUAAAGAACCCCCUUUCCCGAACAUCCAAGAACCUAAGUUUUUUUUUUUUUUUUUGAGAAAGUCUCGCUCUCUCUCCCAGUCUGGAGUGCAGUGGCGUGAUCUUGGCUCACUGCAAGCUCCACCUCCCAGGUUCACGCCAUUCUCCUGCCUCAGCCUCCCGAGUAGCUGGGGCUACAGGCACCUGCCACCAAACCCGGCUAAUUUUUUUGUAUUUUUAGUAGAGACGGGGUUUCACCGUGUUAGCCAGGAUCGUCUUGAUCUCCUGACCUUGUGAUCCACCCGCCUCGGCCUCCCAAAUUGCUGGGAUUACAGAUGUGAGCCACCGCACCUGGUCCAAGAACCCAAGUUUUAGAUCUAGAGUGAUGUCAGCAUGACAUUGAUUUCCUGAGGCCCAGGGGCGAAGGAGCUGAGGACAGCAGAGGGGUGAAGGAACUCAGCUACAGACAGCAGCAGCUGAUGCACAGGGCUCCCAGCGCCUGAAGUCACCCGGAAUUGGGAAGUGCUCAGAAGCUUACAAAGCUGCCUCGAGUAAGAGGACCUUGUGCAUGAAUAAUUUGUUUCCACACUGCAGAGUGGGUAAUAAGCAGAUUAGUAAAAACAAUUCUGCUUCACUUCAAUAACAGCCUCCUCCAACUCAUUUUUUCUCAACAAACUUAUUUUUGCAGCAGAAGAAUCCCAGACUUCUUAGAGAACCCAGUGACUUUUUGCACCUUAAAUCUGUGAAAUCCUCAUGCUUUCUUCUGCCGUAUCCAUCGUUCAAACAAACAUGAGGCAAAGCUAGACACAUUCCUGAAGGAACCCAAGAAAUUCCUCUCUUUCUCUCUCUGGAAUGAAAUGAAUUCUCUAGACCACCAGUUCUAACCUUCAAAAACCAAACCUGUUUGUGAGAUCUCCUUCAAAUACUACUGUAGACCCCAGUGUUUAUUCAUUAAAUUUUUUAAAUAUUUGUUUUAUUUGGAAUCAAAGUAUUUGUAAUUUUAGUAUUUGUAUUAAUAUAAGGGAGAAAUGUUUAAAUCUGUCUAUGCCACAUGUGCCUUCGGCUUAUUGCCCAAUUAAUUGUAGCCUCAGGCUAAACUUUGGUUUCUGUCUUUAAUUUUUGUCGGAAGAAAUAUAACUGGUCUCAAAACAUCUGCUUUUAUUGUAGGGACUCGUGCUGCCAUCUCCAUUCCUCUCUCUUUUCUUGCAAUCUGG
rnacentral:lncRNA from 1 species